GACGAACGCUGGCGGCGUGCUUAACACAUGCAAGUCGAACGGCAACGCCCUACUUUCGUGCGCUGCCCGAGUGGCGAACGCGUGCGUAACACGUGAGUAACCGGCCCUAGACUUUGGGAUAACUUCAGGUAACUAGGGCUACUACCGUAUCGCAUCUCCUGCUGCAUGGUGGGCAUUGGAAAGUUUCGGCGGUUGGGGAUGGACUGGCGGCUUAUCAGCUUGCUGGUGGGGUAGUGGAUUACCAAGGCUUUGACGGGUAGCCGGCCUGAGAGGGUGACCGGCCACAUUGGGCCUGAGAUACGGCGCAGAGGCCUACGGGAGGCAACAGUGGGGAAUAUUGUACAAUGGGCGGGAGCCUGUGGAGGCAGCGCUGCGUGCGUGAAGACGGCUUUCUGGUAGUAAACCGCUUCCGCCUGUGACGAAGCUGGUGUGACGGUAAUGGGUAAAUAAGCACCGGCUAACUACGUG
rnacentral:rRNA from 1 species